GUGGGGAAUUUUGGACAAUGGGCGCAAGCCUGAUCCAGCAAUGCCGCGUGCAGGAAGAAGGCCUUCGGGUUGUAAACUGCUUUUGUACGGAACGAAACGGUCCUGGUUAAUACCUGGGGCUAAUGACGGUACCGUAAGAAUAAGCACCGGCUAACUACGUGCCAGCAGCCGCGGUAAUACGUAGGGGGCUAGCGUUAAUCGGAAUUACUGGGCGUAAAGCGUGCGCAGGCGGUUUUGUAAGACAGGCGUGAAAGCCCCGGGCUAAACGUGGGAAUUGCGCUUGUGACUGCAAGGCUGGAGUGCGGCAGAGGGGGAUGGAAUUCCGCGUGUAGCAGUGAAAUGCGUAGAUAUGCGGAGGAACACCGAUGGCGAAGGCAAUCCCCUGGGCCUGCACUGACGCUCAUGCACGAAAGCGUGGGGAGCAAACAGGAUUAGAAACCCCAGUAGUCC
rnacentral:rRNA from 1 species